rnacentral:rRNA from 1 species
GGGGAAUUGUUCGCAAUGGGCGCAAGCCUGACGACGCAACGCCGCGUGGAGGAUGAAGAUCUUCGGGUCGUAAACUCCUGUCGAGCGGGAAGAAUUGCUUCGAGGUGAAUAUCCUCGAAGUUUGACGGUACCGCUAAAGGAAGCCCCGGCUAACUCUGUGCCAGCAGCCGCGGUAAUACAGAGGGGGCGAGCGUUGUUCGGAAUUACUGGGCGUAAAGGGCGCGUAGGUGGCCUGUUAAGUCGAACGUGAAAUCCCCGGGCUCAACCCGGGAACUGCGUCCGAGACUGGCAGGCUCGAAUCCGGGAGAGGGAUGUGGAAUUCCAGGUGUAGCGGUGAAAUGCGUAGAUAUCUGGAGGAACACCGGUGGCGAAGGCGGCAUCCUGGACCGGUAUUGACGCUGAGGCGCGAAAGCCAGGGGAGCAAA